UGAGGUAGUAGGUUGUAUAGUUUAGAAU
rnacentral:miRNA from 1 species